rnacentral:rRNA from 1 species
UACGUAGGGCGCAAGCGUUGUCCGGAAUUAUUGGGCGUAAAGAGCUCGUAGGCGGUCUGUCGCGUCUGCCGUGAAAACCCGAGGCUUAACCUCGUGGCUUGCGGUGGAUACGGGCAGACUAGAGGUAGGUAGGGGAGAACGGAAUUCCCGGUGUAGCGGUGAAAUGCGCAGAUAUCGGGAGGAACACCGGUGGCGAAGGCGGUUCUCUGGGCCUUACCUGACGCUGAGGAGCGAAAGCGUGGGGAGCGAACAGG